CUCCAUUGCUGCAAAAUCCCAAAGACCUUUCCACUGCUGGUGGCCAUCCGCUGGCCACCACGUUCCAGGCAGAAGGGACCUGCCAGGACCAGGACAGCGCUGAUUCUGGUCUGGGCUUAAUUCCCUUCC